rnacentral:rRNA from 1 species
CGUAGGGUGCGAGCGUUAAUCGGAAUUACUGGGCGUAAAGUGUGCGCAGGCGGCUCCGCAAGUCGAGUGUGAAAUCCCCGAGCUUAACUUGGGAAUUGCGCUCGAAACUACGGAACUGGAGUGUGGCAGAGGAAGGUGGAAUUCCACGUGUAGCGGUGAAAUGCGUAGAGAUGUGGAGGAACACCGAUGGCGAAGGCAGCCUUCUGGGCCAACACUGACGCUCAUGCACGAAAGCGUGGGGAGCAAACAGGAUUAGAUACCCUGGUAGUCCACGCCCUAAACGAUGAUGACUAGUCGUUGGAGGAGUUAAAUCCUUUAGUAACGCAGCUAACGCGUGAAGUCAUCCGCCUGGGGAGUACGGUCGCAAGAUUA